UCAUGGGUAAAUUGGAGCAGCCUGGUGUUCAAUCUUCAUUAAUUGCACAUUAUUGCACCAGUAAGAGCAGAGUGUGGAGGUUCAAUUAGCAGGGUAAGAGCACAGUUCUGCUCUAAAUAUUGCAAUGCACACAACAUUAUGGGAGACAUACCAGAGUUCAAAAGAGGACAAAUUGUUGCUGCACGUCUUGCUGGAGCAUCUGUGACCAAGACAGCAAGUCUUUGUGAUGCAUCAAGAGCCACGGUAUCCAGGGUAAUGUCAGCAUACCACCAAGAAGAACCAACCACAUCCAACAGGAUUAACUGUGGACGCUGUAAGAGGAAGCUGUCUGAAAGGGAUGUUCGGGUGCUAACCCGGAUUGUAUCCAAAAAACAUAAAACCACGGCUGAUCAAAUCACGCAGAAUUCAAUGUGCACCUCAACUCUCCUGUUUCCACCAGAACUGUCCGUCACCACAAUCAAUUAUUGUGCUCUAAAACCAGGUGUUUCAGUUUCAUUGUCCAACCCCUGUAUAUGACCCAUACAUGAUCUGGGUGCAGCUUUAUGGUGAGACGUUUGCAAAACAACAAGCAAAAAAAAUCCAAAAGUACAGUUUUCUGCUUACAUCAGAACUUACUCAAUUCACCUUGCGCAGAUCUCCUUAUCAAGAGGACCUUUCCAGAGUAGCAACAAAAGCAGCAAGCUGAUUGGCUCUUUAUGUUGAAGGGCGGGACUUUAUCCUUAAACAGGUUUUCUUAUUUUCUAAUAUAUAACUCUGAAAAAAAAUAAGGGACCACCUAAAAAUUUAUUUUACCAAAUUGAAAACCUCUGGAAUAUAAUCAAGAGGAAGAUGGAUGAUCACAAUCCAUCAAACCACCAAACUGAACUGCUUGAAUUUUUGCACCAGGAGUAAAGCAGCAUAAAGUUAUCCAAAAGCAGUGUGUAAGACUGGUGGAGGAGAACAUGAUACCAAGAUGCAUGAAGAAAACUGUGAUUAAAAACCACAGUUAUUCCACCAAAUACUGAUUUCUGAAUUCUUAAAACUUUAUGGAAAUUAACUUGUUUUUUUGCAUUAUUUGAGGUCUGAAAGUUCUGUGUAUUUUUUGUUAUUUCAGCCAUUUCUCAUUUUCUACAAAAAAUGCUCUAAAAAAAUAUUUUUAUUUGGAAUUUGGGAGAAAUGUUGUCUGUAGUUUAUAGAAUAAAACAACAAUGUUCAUUUUACUCAAACAUAAACCUAUAAAUAGCAAAAUCAGAGAAACUGAUUCAGAAAAUGAAGUGAUCUCUUCAUUUUUACCAGAGCUGUAUAUAACCCAGUGUACUGUAUGUAAAGCUGACUCAUGAAUUAAUGUCUUGUCUUGAAUGAGGUACACUUGACAUUGUUCCUGCAUUGUUGGACUAGUGAAGUUAAAUUCAUUAUUUUGCUAUACUAUUUGGGUGACAUUGUAUAAAGUUAUACCUUACUAUUGCAUUAUGUAAAAUAGAAAACUGUUUAAUGUAUAUAGACUGUCUCACAAUGUGUCUGUUCAAUUUGUUGUGGUGAUUUUUUUAAUAAACAUGAUAAAUAGGGGAAA